rnacentral:tRNA from 1 species
GACCGGUUAGCUCAGUUGGCCAGAGCGCUACAUUGACAUUGUAGAGGUCGGAGGUUCAAGUCCUCUACCGGUCA